UGGGGAAUAUUGCACAAUGGGCGAAAGCCUGAUGCAGCGACGCCGCGUGAGGGACGACGGCCUUCGGGUUGUAAACCUCUUUCAGCAGGGACGAAGCGCAAGUGACGGUACCUGCAGAAGAAGCACCGGCUAACUACGUGCCAGCAGCCGCGGUAAUACGUAGGGUGCAAGCGUUGUCCGGAAUUACUGGGCGUAAAGAGUUCGUAGGCGGUUUGUCGCGUCGUUUGUGAAAACCAGCAGCUCAACUGCUGGCUUGCAGGCGAUACGGGCAGACUUGAGUACUGCAGGGGAGACUGGAAUUCCUGGUGUAGCGGUGAAAUGCGCAGAUAUCAGGAGGAACACCGGUGGCGAAGGCGGGUCUCUGGGUAGUAACUGACGCUGAGGAACGAAAGCGUGGGUAGCGAACAGG
rnacentral:rRNA from 1 species